UAGUUUAUUGAGGCUUUCAAU
rnacentral:siRNA from 1 species